AACUGUAUCAAAAAGGACCUGAAGCAGCUUCAACAUUUAACUUGUGUAUGCGAUAGAGGCUGUAUUUUUCAACUUAUCUUCAUGAAUUUUGGUCAGAAUGAUUAACUUGUUGAAAUCUAGGCAGAGUUUGAAUAUGGGUCAUCUGGGGUCAGAAACUAGGUCAAAUCAAAGAAAAACCUUGUGUAUGCGAUAGAGGCUGUAUUUUUCAAUUAAUCUUCAUGAAUUUUGGUCAGAAUGAUAACCUUGAUGAAAUCUAGGCCGAGUUAGAAAAUGGGUCAUCUGGGGACAAAAACUAGGUCACUAGGUCAAAUCAUAGAAAAACCUUGUGUAUGCGAUAGAGGCUGUAUUUUUAUGCCCCCCUUCAAAGAAGGAGGGGUAUAUUGUUUUGCAGAUGUCGGUCGGUCUGUAUGUCUGUCUGUCGGUCGGUCGGUCUGUAUGUAGACCAAUCCGUUUCCGGAUGAUAACUCAAGAACGCUUGUGCCUAGAAUCAUGAAAGUUGAUAGGGAGGUUGGUCAUCACCAGCAGAUGGCCCCUAUUGAUUUUGAGGCCAGUAUGCCAAAGGUCAAGGUCACAGUGACCCUGAACAGUAAAACGGUUUCCGGAUGAUAACUCAAGAAUGCCUGGGCCUAGGAACAUGAAUAUUGAUAGGGAGGUUGGUCAUGACCAGCAGAUGACCCCUAUUGAUUUUGAGUUCAUUACGUCAAAGGUCAAGGUCACAUUUACCAGGAACAAUUAAAUGGUUUCUGAUCUUCUUGUCCAAAACCACAGGGCCUAGGGCUUUGAUAUUUGGUAUGUAGCAAAAUCUAGUGGUCGUCUACCAAAAUUGUUCAGAUUAUUUCCCUUGGGUCAAAUAUGGCCCCAUCAUGGGGGUCACAUGGUUUAUAUAGACUUAUAUAGGAAAAAACUUUGUGCAUACCGAAAUGAACUUUGACCUUCAGAUUGACCUAGUGACCUACUUUGACAUUUCUGAAGCUACAGUCUUUAAAUUUGGACUGCAUGCAUAUUUUUGUGUUCUGAAUUGAAAUUUGACAUUGAUUUUUACCUAGUAUCUACUUUCACAUUUCUCACGCUACAGCCUCCAGAUUUGAAGCACAUGCAUAGUUCUGUCUACCGAAAUGAACUUUGACUUUGAAAUUGAUUAGUGACCUACUUUCACAUUCCUCAAGCCACAGCUUUCAAAUUUGGACCACAUGCAUAUGGAACAUUAAAAAAUGACUUGGUGGUCAGUGCCGAGAUCACUCUGUUAUCUCUAGUUAGGUCAAUAGGUUAAUGGUCGAAGUCAGAUUGGACCAGAACAGUAGAAUUUUGUUUACAGUGAGCUUAUAAUUUCUGUUCCUUGUGCAAUUACUCAAUGCAUCAAGGGGGCAUUUCGUGUUCGACGAGCUCUUGUUCAAUUUAUCUUCAUGAAUUUUGGUCAGAAUGAUUACCUUGAUAAAAUCUAGGCCAGGUUCGAAAAUGGGUUAUCUGGGUUCAAAAACUAGGUCACUAGGUCAAAUAAAAGAAAAACCUUGUGUAUGCGAUAGAGGCUGUAUUUUUCAAUUAAUCUUCAUGAAUUUUGGUCAGAAUGAUAGCCUUGAUAAAAUCUAGGCUGAAUUCGAAAAUGGGUCAUCUUGGGCCAAAAACUAGGUCACUAGGUCAAAUCAAAGAAAAACCUUGUGUAUGCGAUAGAGGCUGUAUUUUUCAAUUAAUCUUUAUGGAUUUUGAUCAGAAUGAUAACCUUGGUGAAAUCUAGGGCGAGUUCGAAAAUGGGUCAUCUUGGGUCAAAAACUAGGUCACUAGGUCAAAUCAAAGAAAAACCUUGUGUAUGCGAUAGAGGCUAUAUUUUUCAAUUGAUCUUCAUGAAAUUAGGUCAGAAUGAUUGCCUUGAUGAAAUCUAGGUCAAGUUUGAAUAUGGGUCAUCUCGGGUUAAAAAUUAGGUCACUAGGUCAAAUCAAAGAAAAACCUUGUGUAUGCGAUAGAGGCUGUAUUUUUCAAUUGAUCUAUAUGAAAUUUGGUCAGAAUGAUUGCCUUGAUAAAAUCUAGGUUGAGUUUGAUUAUUGGUCAUCUGGGGUCAAAAAUUAGGUCACUAGGUCAAAUCAAAGAAAAAACCUUGUGUAUGCAAUAGAGGCUGUAGUUUUCAAUUGAUCUUUAUGAAAUUUAAUCAGAAUGAAUGCCUUGAUGAAAUCUAGGUCAAGCUUGAAUAUGGGUAAUCUGUAGUCAAAAAGUAGGUCACUAUGUCAAAUCAAAGGAAAACCUUGUGUAUGCGAUAGAGGCUGUUUUUUUUUCAAUUGAUCUUCCCGAAAGGAAGUCAGAAUGAUUGCCUUGAUGAAAUCUAGGUAGAAUUUGAAUAUGGGUCAUCUGGGGUCAAAAAGCAGGUCACUAGGUUAAAUCAAAGAAAAACCUCGUGUAUGUAAUAGAGGCUGUAUUUUUCAACUGAUCUUCAUGAAAUUUUUCAGAAUAAUGGCCUUGAUAAAGCUAGGUCAAGUUCGAAUAUGGGUCAUCUGGGUUCAAAUACUAGGUCACUAGGUAAAAUCAAAGAAAAACCUUGUGUAUGCGAUAGAGGCUAUAUUUUUCAAUUGAUCUUCAUGAAAUUUGGUCAGAAUGAUAGCCUUGAUGAAAUCUAGGUCAAGUUCGAAUAUGGGUCAUCUGGGGUUAAAAGUAGGUCAAAUCAAAGAAAAUACUUGUUUUUGCUCCAAUUUUAAUGAUAAUUGGUCAGAAUAUUUUUUUCCAAGAAAUCACUAGGUCAAACAUGUUUACACUGUUAUGGUAUAUUAUGGAGUGUUUCUCAGGUGAGCGACCUAGGGCCAUCUUGGCCCUCUUGUUAGUGUCUCUUUUUUUUCGCUCUAUUUUUCCCAAAUAAAUGUGCAAAUUGUGUAUUAUUUACUGCGGUAAUAAUAAUAGGUAUAAAUGAAUAUACAUAACAAAUAAUGAAAAGCAACAUUCAGUCGACCUUUUAAUCCAUCCACGUGUCUAUUUGCAGUCGAAUGGCCGAUGAGUAUGCAAGAAUUCAGGACCAGUCGAUGCCGGAUACACAUCCCACCUCUCUUGUCUGAGCAGUGCGGAGAGGCGAGAGUGGUACCGCCAAAAGAAAAAAAAGCACAGAAACAAACCACUUGAACAGAAACGUGAACGCUAGAUGCAGAACUGUGACUAGUAUCGGAUGUGAAGUUUCAAGGUUUUCCACACAAAUAUGAAAUUUAAAAAGAUAUAAAAAGCUGAUUUGACAUUUUGAUGCUUUACUUGUAUUUUAAAUAGAUAUAAAGAAAUCAUCAAACUUAGAUACCGAAAUUUGUUUUUUCUUGCUUAUAAUGCGCGGUCUUAAAGACAAUAAACUUUAAUCGAUAA